GCCCUUAUAGCUCAGUGGUAGAGCGCUUCACUGUAAGUUGAAUCAACACAAAAUCUCCCAUGAUGUUCACAUAUUAAUUGUCCUAGCGUAGUGUACCAACAAGGUGCUAUGAAGAGGUCCAUCGUUCGAACCGGUGUGGGGGCA